rnacentral:rRNA from 1 species
CCCUACCCCUGAAGUACCUCUCACCUCUCCCGGCCUCGAGCCAGACAGUAUCUCCUGAAAGCCUGACAGUUAAGCUGCCAGAUUUCUCAAGAGACUUAUCCGGCCGGCUACAGACCCUUUAGACCCAAUAAUAACGGUUACCACUCGAGCCGCCGGUGUUACCGCGGCGGCUGGCACCGGUCUUGCCCGGCCCUUGCUAUGAAAUGCUUUUUAGGCAUCUCGACAGCCAGAUUUGUAACCUGGCACUCGAGGUUCCCUUAUCGCUGUUGCCAGCAUUGUAAAGUUUUCGCGCCUGCUGCACCCCGUAGGGCCUGGAUUCGUGUCUCAGAAUCCAUCUCCGGGCUCUUGCUCUCACAACCCGUACCCGUCGUAGGCUAGUAGGUACGCUACACCCACUACUACCUGAUAGGCCGCAGACCCAUCCUUAGGCGCCGGAGCUUUAAAUCUCGAUGCAUUCCAGCAAUCGAGACCUAUCGGGUAUUAUACCCAGUUUCCCGGGUUUAUCCCCGUCCUAACGGCAGGUUGUCCACGUGUUACUGAGCAGUUCGCCAUGUAUUGCUACAUUCGACUCGCAUGG